AUGAUUAAUUUUUAAAUUAUUUUUGAUCGUAGGAUCAUCACGAAGAUGGUGAUUGAUCCAGUUAGACUGGUGCACGAAUCACUUCCUUCGAAUAGGUGAGUUUUGAGUUUGCAGUGUAGAGAUAUUGGAUUGAGAGUGUAGGUAGUUGUUAAAGAAUAACUAGCACUGAGCAUGACUAACACGAGAACUCACAUAGAUGUUUGCUCACUCAUUAGUGACUUUCUCGAUGUUGUAAUUAUGUGACUGAUCCUU
rnacentral:lncRNA from 1 species